rnacentral:misc_RNA from 1 species
GGAAGUGUCAAGCUUGAACAAGUUGACUUUGAGAUUUUUCACGUCAAUUUUUGAUAAAUGCACGGUUAUUACUAAUGUCAGGUAUCAGUGAAGUCACCAGUCAUUGGUUGUAAACGAAUUUUACCAUAAUGAGAUUGCCUUGAUGCCUGACGAUGAGUACGAUAGAGCUGAAGAAAUGUGGCGUCAAGUUUGACCCACCUGCUCUUGUCCUAAUGUACAUGGACCGCAAGGCGAACAAACUGAGACUGAGGACGAUGCCGCUACGCAACUUCGACAAAUCAUCGAAACUCGAAAACGUCAUUGAAGGCCUCAAGUCGAAGCAGGCGAAAUACGUCGCUCACAUCCAACCCGCACAGCUGCUGAGACUGUUGACAAUCAUUAAAGACAAGCUGAACGGAAUGAGCCUGGAGGCAAGUCUAGCGCGGAAUGAUGCCCUCGAUCAGAUAGAUCCAGAUGAAGACUUGAACAAGCUCGACGAGGAGACUCUGUGGAGGAAGAAGUUACUCAUGGACAAGGAGUUCGAGAAAAACAGGAAGAAACCUGGCGAUCCAGAAUUUCAGUAUGAGGUGACUGAAGAAUUCGAAACCGAAGGUCCUGGGAUUGAAUCUGCUGGCUGGGACUCAGAUGGAUCUGAUCCUGAAUUUUAAUUGGUUGAAUUCUGAGGAAGUGGAUGAAAUCUGAAUUCGGAUGGGCUAAAUUCUGAGGGAUUGGAUGAAAUCUGAAUUCGGAUUGGAUGAAAUCUCAGGAAAUACCUAUUUACAGCAAUGUCUACAGCUGCUAGUUUACUAAUGGUGAUGUGUUUGCUAAUGUUCGGGUGCGAGUGUCUAGCAGACGACCAGUGCAAGACAACCUGUCUGAAUUACUACUGGCGAUGUGACAUGGAACAGGGAUGCCGGGAUUCGAACACAGGUCUCAGGAAGUAUGCUGGGACGCCACGACCACGACGUUGUGACGACCAUGACGUCAACAACAGAUUCCACUGUGACGAGUAGUCACUCGGCCAUAAUAGGUGUUUGACAAACGUCAUUGUGACGUCAUCUCUGACAAUCUUCUUGGCGUCCAAGAUACGCUAGCUGAGUUUUAUCAAUGGACCAUGAUUUGUCAAGAUCUGUUGCAAGGAUCAAUAAAAAAAAAAAAAAAAAAAAUGUCAUAUCA